UGGGGAAUAUUGGACAAUGGGCGAAAGCCUGAUCCAGCCAUGCCGCGUGUGUGAAGAAGGUCUUCGGAUUGUAAAGCACUUUAAGUUGGGAGGAAGGGCAUUAACCUAAUACGUUAGUGUUUUGACGUUACCGACAGAAUAAGCACCGGCUAACUCUGUGCCAGCAGCCGCGGUAAUACAGAGGGAGCAAGCGUUAAUGGGAAUUACUGGGCGUAAAGCGCGCGUAGGUGGUUUGUUAAGUUGGAUGUGAAAUCCCCGGGCUCAACCUGGGAACUGCAUUCAAAACUGACUGACUAGAGUAUGGUAGAGGGUGGUGGAAUUUCCUGUGUAGCGGUGAAAUGCGUAGAUAUAGGAAGGAACACCAGUGGCGAAGGCGACCACCUGGACUAAUACUGACACUGAGGUGCGAAAGCGUGGGGAGCAAACA
rnacentral:rRNA from 1 species